rnacentral:tRNA from 1 species
GGGGUUGUGGCUCAGUGGUAGAGUGCCUACCUUACACGUGUGAGACACUGGGUUCAAUCCUCAGCACCA